AGGCUCUGUGCACUCAGAGGCAGAAAUACUGCCUAGAAGAGUUCCCAGGUCUGCUGAUGUGAGCAUGCUUGGAAAAGCAGAGGAAAAUACCAGGUUUUUCCAAGCCAACUGAAAUGGGCUGAAGUCAGGAUGGUUUUGGAAUCAGACUUUAGAUGAACACAUAAGAGGGAACUUGCCCUCUCCCAGGCAGAAUGGAAAGGACACUCAUUGGACUCCACACCUCAGUCUGGGGCCAGUCCCACAGGGCUCCAGGUACCUGUGUCUCACAGUCCAGCAGCCGGAUGGACUUGUCGUUCACUUGCAGC